UUCCUACGGGAGGCAGCAGUGAGGAAUAUUGGUCAAUGGGCGCGAGCCUGAACCAGCCAAGUCGCGUGAGGGAAGACGGUCCUAUGGAUUGUAAACCUCUUUUGUCGGGGAGCAAAAGACGCCACGUGUGGCGUUCCGAGAGUACCCGAAGAAUAAGCAUCGGCUAACUCCGUGCCAGCAGCCGCGGUAAUACGGAGGAUGCGAGCGUUAUCCGGAUUUAUUGGGUUUAAAGGGUGCGUAGGCGGAUUUUUAAGUCAGCGGUAAAAUGUCCGGGCUCAACCCGGGCCGGCCGUUGAAACUGGGGG
rnacentral:rRNA from 1 species